rnacentral:rRNA from 1 species
GAGUUUGAUCCUGGCUCAGAACGAACGCUGGCGGCGUGGCUAAGGCAUGCAAGUCGAACGGGACCACGGGCUGGGUAACCGGCCUGUGGUUUAGUGGCGAACGGGUGAGGAAUACAUGGGUAACGUACCCCGGACACAGGGAUAGCGGCGGGGGCUUCGGCUCCCUUUGCGAAAGUGCCGGUAAUACCUGAUGAUCCAGGAGCACCGCCUGGUGCCCCUGGCAAAGGUCCGCCGGUCUGGGAUCGGCCCAUGUCCUAUCAGCUUGUUGGUGAGGUAAUGGCUCACCAAGGCGACGACGGGUAUCGGGCGUGAGAGCGUGGCCCGACACAUCGGAACUGAGACACUGUCCGGACACCUACGGGUGGCUGCAGCAACGAAUAUUCCGCAAUGGGCGCAAGCCUGACGGAGCGACGCCGCGUGCAGGAUGAAGUCCUUCGGGAUGUAAACUGCUGUCAGGGGUUAGGAAGCUCUGACCAGCCCCAAAGGAAGCGCCGGCUAAUUCCGUGCCAGCAGCCGCGGUAAUACGGAAGGCGCAAGCGUUGUUCGGAAUCACUGGGCUUAAAGCGCGUGCAGGCGGGGUGGAAGGUGUCGAGUGAAAGCCCUCGGCUCAACCGAGGAAUGGCUCGGCAAACCAUCACUCUUGAGGCAGGUAGAGGCGACUGGAACGUUCGGCGGAGCGGUGAAAUGCGUAGAGAUCGAACGGAACACCGGUGGCGAAAGCGGGUCGCUGGACCUGUACUGACGCUCAGACGCGAAAGCGUGGGUAGCAAACAGGAUUAGAUACCCUGGUAGUCCACGCCGUAAACGAUGCGCACGUGGUACGGGAUUCUCUGACGAACUCCGUGCCGAAGCGAAAGCGAUGAGUGCGCCGCCUGGGGAGUACGGCCGCAAGGCUAAAACUCAAAGGAAUUGACGGGGGCUCACACAAGCGGUGGAGCAUGUGGAUUAAUUCGAAGCAACGCGAAGAACCUUACCUGGGUUUGACAUGCUCGGAUGCACCGGUGAAAGCCGGCUAUGCUGCCUUCGGGUGAAACGAGCACAGGUGCUGCAUGGCUGUCGUCAGCUCGUGCUGUGAAGUGUCGGGUUAAGUCCCUUAACGA